UACGUAGGGUGCGAGCGUUGUCCGGAAUUAUUGGGCGUAAAGAGCUUGUAGGCGGUUUGUCGCGUCUGCUGUGAAAAUCCGGGGCUCAACCCCGGACUUGCAGUGGGUACGGGCAGACUAGAGUGUGGUAGGGGAGACUGGAAUUCCUGGUGUAGCGGUGAAAUGCGCAGAUAUCAGGAGGAACACCAAUAGCGAAGGCAGCUCGCUGGGACGGUACUGACGCUAAGGCGCGAAAGCGUGGGGAGCGAACAGG
rnacentral:rRNA from 1 species